rnacentral:rRNA from 1 species
UACGUAGGCAGCAAACGUUGUUCGGAAUUACUGGGCGUAAAGAGUGUGUAGGCGGCUUUGUAAGUUUGGUGUGAAAUCUCCCGGCUUAACUGGGAGGGUGCGCCGAAUACUGUGAGGCUAGAGUACUGGAGAGGAAAGCGGAAUUCCUGGUGUAGCGGUGAAAUGCGUAGAUAUCAGGAGGAACACCGGUGGUGUAGACGGCUUUCUGGACAGUAACUGACGCUGAGACACGAAAGCGUGGGGAGCAAACAGG